UCAACCAUCAAGCCUGGCUUGUUAUUGGACCCCUUUGCAGCUGAAAUACGCGGCAGGUCCGAAAGAUAAUGACGGCGUCGUGUUUGACCCUAGAUGCAACGAGCUUUUCAUAGCACGCAUUGAAGUGGUCGGCCGACCCGAUCUUUAACCAUUAUUUUCUAA
rnacentral:misc_RNA from 1 species